GCAGUAUUACUGUACACUGCUGCAGUAUUACUGAACACUGCUGUAUGAGUGUACUGGUUUAUUGUAUACAUGGAGGGAGAAUCUGAAGCCUGAAGUGUUUCAGUUUCCUGUAAAGUUUCAGUCCUCGUCGACAGCUGCAGCCAGCGAAGCUCCUGGAGAGUAAAACCUGUACCUGCUCCUUUUACACCAGGCCGUGAUCCACAGCUUGUUCCAGAUCUACUCAGUAAACGUCUCCAGUUAUCAGCUCUGUGGAGCCUGAAAUGAUGAAGAACAUCAGAGGCAAAGAGUGUGAAAGCCCCACCCCUCCUCUGCUGCAAACAGGUUAAAACAAACACACCCGACCCCUGCCAACAGUUAAGAGAGCCUGUCGGGGGGGGGCGGGGGGAGUCAGGCCCAAGGUGUGAAAAAACACUAAGGAACAUCACACAGCGGCAGGAGGCAUGCUGCUGCUCAACACCAGCUCUCCGCCAGGCCGUGGCAUCUCAUGAUGUAACAGAAGUACACACACACAAACACACACACCUUUGACACUUGUUAAAGGAGCUGAACGUCGUCCUCCUCAGGUGAACUGGCAGCACGCCGAGGAGCAAACUGAACAUUGUUUUCAGACGUCGUCCGGCUUCAUGUCGAGCUCGCAGCGUGAGAACGGCCUGUUGCAUAACUCCACCACAUCAUCACCUCUGAUGAGCGAGGCGUCGUGCCACGUUUCACUUGGGUGAGAAUGGAUCGGACUCUAUUGGCCAUGAAGAGGUUGUGUUUUUAAUCACCUCUUCCGAACGACGCGAUGAAUCAAGACGCAGUUAUUUAACAGACGUUACAGGAAUCUGUCAGCAGAGCUCCGACUUAUCUUAAUAUUCUGUUGUACCGCGGCCACGGAAAAUACUCGUCUCUGAUUGGCUGUCAGGUGUCUGUUAAAAUCAAGUGUGGACAUCUCAAACAUUUUAAAACAAACAGCAGUUUAACCUAAAUCAGAGUUCAAGGUGUAUUAACCUGCAGGUAACCGGAGUAACAGCACUGACGCUUCAGGCUCUGUUAGCAGGUAACCGGCAGGUGAAACUAACCUAACCAUGAUGUUAAACCGACUACACACUUUAAAACACAGGAGGAUUUAAACACAGCUGACUCACGCCGUCAUUAACUCAUCACUUAUAGACAAGAGAAUAUAUCACACUCACAUGGAAUAUAAAAUCUUUAUUUUUUAUGUUGAUUCAGAGCUCUCUGCAUCAUGAAACGUUUGCAAACCACUCAAUUAAAUCCAGUGGAGAGGCUGCUAAUGGUUCCCGGUCGUCAUGGUGACACCUGCACCAUCUUCAUCCUCAGGAUCAACCUCUCUACUUUGUCUUAAAGGUGCCCUGUCGAGUUUUUGCUCUAAUAGCAAAAGUCCGAUCACCCUUUGUCACAAACUGAGACCUGGUGGUACCCAGCAGAGUCCGGGGAGCUCAGUGGUCCAGAGGGCACAUACCAGGUCAGUAAAUCUGAGGCCGUUUAAGGCCUGAAAAUGAGCAAUGAAAUUUCCAAAUCUCUUCGAACUCUAACAGGGAGCCAGUGUAGGGAGGCCAGCACAGGGGGGAUGUGACCGUGCCUCUCUGUCCCUGUGAUGAGUGCAGCAGCAGCGUUUCGUACCAGCUGGAGACGGGGGAAGGAGCUCUGGCUGAUACGUGAAUAAAGUGCGUUGCAGUAAUCAAGCCGGCAGCAGAUACAAGCAUGUACAACUUUUUGUAAAUCAGCAAUAAUUGAUAAAAAUGACCUAACUUUCGAGAUUAUCUUUAGCUGAAAGAAACAUGACCUCUGUUUGUGCUUUUGGGUCCACAUCUGGCUAACCUGACCUGUAACAGCCAGUUUUCAUGGUGUCCGAGGAAGCCAGUUCAAGUCAAAGUGUCGGACCAGUGUCGGACCAGUGUCGGCACCUGGACGGACUCAAGCCGUGGUACUCAGGAGUGCCAUUCAUCAGGAGUCUGACUCCAGCUGUUGUUGGGCAGGGACUCUUCACUUACCUGGAGUAGUUUAUAAUUAUUACACUAAUGUCUCUAAAUGAAUGUGCUAAUGACUUAUUAGUGUUAAAUGUUUAUCAUCACACCUUUAAAAUAGCACAGCGCACCUGCCGGAUGACGCAGACUCACCUAUGCGAGACUUUUCUAGUCUGUACUGGUUUGUGUUUUAUCAAUGAAGGUCCCGUUGAUGGAGAGAUUUACAGCCAGCAGAGAGCCAUAAAAGUCUGCUUUCUGUCACUCGCUGUUGUUUUAAUCCUGCAGCCAGAGAAUACCUGGCCUCAGACCAGCUGCAGGUUCACACUCAUCAUGACUGAGCACAGAUGCAGUUUCUAUCUGGUGUUGUUUUAUUUUUUUUUUUUUUUUUUUUUGGCUCAGGUUGGCUGGGAUCAGAUUACAGUCACAGAGGCGUGAACGCUCCACAACAACACAGUGGAAAAAUGGCUCUACGGUUCAACAGCAACAUGUACUCCUCCAUUUAAAAGCACCUGUCAAUCAAAGAGACACUGGAAAUUCCACACACACAGAAACCGGACCAAUACAGCGAUUGUGAAACGGCUGGCGAGCUGAUGUGACACGCUCUGCUCGAGGGGUGAUUUAGCUGAAACUGCUGGCUCAGCACGAUGGAUGCUGGAGGUUAAAGGUGCUGGUUGGAACCGAAAGGAACAGGAACUGAGAUGGUUCAGUUAGUCCUCAGUCGCUUCUCUGUUGAUCAUCAUCAUCAUCCUGGUUCUUCUUGUCUCGGUGCUGUGACCUCUGACCCUGUCACUGUGGGCCGUCCUGGUGCACCAGGUGUCCAACCACCGAAAGGACAACUACUGGGACCACCUAGAACCUCCUCAGUGACCACAGGAACCUCCUAAAGGAACACUAGAACCACCUAAAGGACCUAAAUAACCUUCCCAGUAAACACUAGAAAGACCUCCAGAACCUCUUCAAUGACCUCUAGAGCUUCCUAAAUGAUCUCCAUAGCUUAUCAAUCACCACAAGAACCUCCUAAAGGACCUCCAGAACCUCCUCAAUUAUCCGAGAACAUCAUACAUAAAGGAACAUCGUAAAACCUCCAGAACCUCUUCGGUGACCAAAAUAACUUCCUAAAUGACCUCUAGAACCUCUUAAUGGAACACUCUUAGACCCCUAUAACCUUCUCAGUGACCACUAGAACUUCCUACAGAAACACCAGAACCAUCUAAAGGACCCCUAGAACAUCCUCAGUGACCCGUAGAACCUACUAAUGCAGCUGUAGAAAUUGACCACAAAUACCUAACAAGGGAACACUAGAACACUGUCAGUCAAGUUACCUCCUAGAACUCAACUAGAACCACCAGUCGGACCUCUAGAUAGUUGUCACCGCUAGAACCUCACAGAGGGCGACUAGAACCCCCUAGCAGAGUUUUAUGGGGGGGGGGGGUAAAUUAAUACUUCAAUGUAAACUACAGUUUUCAGUUAAAGUAGGAGAGAGAGACGCUCACUCGGCAUUCAACACAAAAUCUGGCUGCUGAGGCAAAUUCAGGAAAAUGAUCUUUAAAGUUUCUUUAAAGAUCCUCAUUGAUAACUGAAACAUGAUCCUUUUCACAGGCUGAAUGUUGAUUAUGUCAUGUUCUGUUCAGUCAGCUGACUGUCAGUGGAUGGAUGUCGCCCCCUGUAGGUCACAGAGAGGAACUCUUCAUUUCAGCAUAUCACAGAGCAGCGUACCGACCCGUUUUCAUAUGAAGACACCAUAAAUGGACUGUAGUUUUCUUCUUUUCAAGCCAUGAAGAAGUCUCAUCAAACUCCAGUUUUACUCAAGACAAGAGACAACACAGCUUCUCUGCACUCCUGUCUGCUGCCACAUUAAUAACAAUUCAAAGCUCAUUAAGUUUAUUCCAAGUUUAAUCUAAGUUGUGUGUUUUUUUUGUGCAGGUAUCAAAGACCAGCUCCCAUUCAGUCAACUUAGUUUUUAUCAUUAUCGUUUCACAUAAUUUUCUACUGCUUUUGCAGACAGGAGCCAUUUUGAAACUUGUCUGUGUGGGGCGUUUAAGGACACUUCAGUGUCCAACAUUUGAUGGUCCGCUGCCAAAAACAACACUGAUGAUGUCAGCAAAUCAAACUCAGAGGAGAAACAAAGAGCAAACAUGGACGCUGAGACAAGAAGACUGGGAUUUGUUGUUUGUUGCAUUAAAAGGAAACUUUUCCGUGUCUUUGAAUGCACCAACAGGGAGUUUUUAAAAUGGCCCCCUACAGUCAGUUUUUUAUUACAGCUGAACCUGUACUGUCUGAGUUACCUGCGGUGCAGUCCCUGAGCUGCAGCUAUGUAGCCCCGCCCAGCUGACACACCUGGACACCUGCCCAAAGAUAAGACUGAUACAUUGUGUUGGUUCAGGAUCAUAUCAGUUUAACACAGAGCUGUGAUAAGACGAGGGUCACGAAAGACACCAGGAAACAGGAAAGGAGUGAUUUCACUUCAACAGGUAACCUGCCGAGAAAAUAAAGGUGGAUCCAAACAUUCAGAACCUGCAGAAACAUUUAGUCCGAACAAACUAGAAGACAGAAGAACGUUUUGGGGAGAAUCUUCUGUUUAAAUUCUGACUAAGCUGAUUAAAAGGGAAGGAUGUUUUGACCUUUGACCUCUCACUCAUGCAGCCAGAGGCAUGAUGGGAUACCAAGAGCCUGUGCAGCAGAGUCCACUGUAAAGAACCUCCUAUCAUGUCCUUCCUUACAUCCUCCUUUCCUUUCCUACAUCCUAACUACCUUCUAUAAUCCUCCUUUCCUUCCUUACCUCCUCCCUUCCUUCUUUUUCUCCUUACCUCCUCCUUUCCUUCCUUAUUUACUC